rnacentral:rRNA from 1 species
GUGCCAGCCGCCGCGGUAAUACGGAGGGUGCAAGCGUUACUCGGAAUCACUGGGCGUAAAGGGUGCGUAGGCUGGCUUCUAAGUCAGAUGUGAAAUCCAAUGGCUUAACCAUUGAACUGCAUUUGAAACUGGGAGCCUAGAGUUCAGAAGGGGCAGAUGGAAUUAGUGGUGUAGGGGUAAAAUCCGUAGAUAUCACUAGGAAUAUCAAAAGCGAAGGCGAUCUGCUGGGAUGAUACUGACGCUGAGGCACGAAAGCGUGGGGAGCAAACAGGAUUAGAUACCCCCGUAGUCC